ensembl:lncRNA
UUUUUUUGUAUUUUUUUUUUUUUAAGUAGAGAUGGGGUUUCACUGUAUUAGCCAGGAUGGUCUUGAUCUCCUGACCUCAUGAUCCACCCAUCUCAGCCUCCCAAAGUGCUGGGAUUAUAGGCAUGAGCCACCCCGCCCAGCCAAGAUGAGGUUUCAUUAUGUUGGCCAAGCUGGUCUUGAACGCCUGAUAUCCACCUGCCUCAGCCUCCCAAAGUGCUGGGGUUAUAGGUGUUAGCCACCAUACCUAGCCUAGAGGCCAGUAUUUUUUUUUUUUUAAUUAUGGUAUAAUUUUAAACACAUGAACUACUUAUUUAUGCUUUUGAGACAGGGUCUCUCUCUGUUGCCCAGGCUGAAGUGCAGUGGCAUGAUGUCAGCACACUGCAGCUUUGAACUACCAGGCUCAAGUAUCCCCCCCACCUCAGCCUCCCGAGUACCUAGGAUUACAGGCACGUACACGAUGCCCAGCCGGUCUUGCUAUGUUGCCCAGGCUGGCACUUAAACCACUUCUUAGUGUACAAUUCAGGGGCAGUAACUGAAUUCUCAAAUGCUGUUCAACAACCAUCACCACUAUCUAUUUCCAAAACUUUUUUUUUAAACAGAGUUUCACUCUUGUCACCCAGCUGGAGUGCAAGGGUGCAAUCCCAGCUCACUGCAACCUCCGCCUCCCAGGUUCAAGCAAUUCUCCUGUCUCAGCCUCCGAAGUAGCUGGGAUUAUAGGCACCCACCACCACGAGUAGACACGGGGUUUCACCAUGUUGGCCAGACUAGUCUGGAACUCCUGACCUCAAGUGAUCCACCCGCCUCGGCCUCCCAACAUGUUGGGAUUACAGGCAUGAGCCACCGUGCCUGGCCUCCAAAACAUUUUAUCACCCCAAAUAAAAACUCCUUACCCACUAAACAGUAACACCCUCUCCCUCACACCCAGCCCUGGUACCUUAUAAUCUACUUUCUGUCUCCAUGGAUUUACCUAUUCUAGACAUGUCAUACAAAUGGAAUCACACACUAUGUGUCCUUUUUUUUUUUUCCCCUAGUUAGAUGGGGAGUCUCACUCUGUUGCCCAGGCUGGAGUGCAGUGGCACAAUCUCGGCUCACUGGAACCUCUACCUCCCAGGGUCAAGUGAUCCUCCUGUCUCAGCCUCCUGAGUAGCUGGGACUAUAGUCACAUGACCCCACUAAAUUAACUCCUGGCUAAUUUUUUGUAUUUUCGAGACUCUGUCUCAAAAAUAAAUAAAUAAAUAAAUAAAAUAAAAUAAAAUAAACAGCACAGACCCUCAAAAAAUAAAGAUCCCCAUAGGGGAGGACACCUGCCUCCAGACCUCAGUCUCCUCACAUGGGAAAUGGGAAGAUAAUAUCUGCUAGACAGCCCUGAACACCCCCUCUCCAGCCUUGCAGCUCUCUGCCCGCUUCCCCUCUCAUGCCCACUCCUGAUGCCAGCUCCCUCUCCACUGCCCCAGCUUCUUCAGUAAAUCCCCCCCAGUCACCUCCAGCCCCCAUCUGCAUCUCCCCCCACAUCCCUGACAAGACACGGCUGGUGUCACUUUCAGAUCAUUUUACAGCAUGUUACCCCCGAGCCGCCACCAGCCCCCAUCCGCUGACUAGACACAGCUGGUGUCACUUUCAGAUCAUUUUACAGCGUGUUACCCCCCCAGCCGCCACCAGCCCCCAUCCGCAUCUCCCCCCACAUCCCUGACUAGACAUGGCCGGUGUCACUUUCAGAUCGUUUUCCAGCACGUUACCUUGGGGAUGGGGAGUGGCUUUCUCAUUUCAACUUCCUCAUUUCCCCCCCCAACUUCCCAGAACCACAGAAAGGUUCAGGGGAGCCCCAAGCUGAGGAGUACUUCCCUCUCUGGGUCUCCAAGUGCUUUCUUUCACACUGCAACAGGUAUCCUAGCAAGAGGAGCUACUGAGGGGAAGUAAAAAUGGCUGGCUUGGUGUGGUGACUCAUGCCUGUGAUCCCAGUGCUUUGGGAGGCUAAGGUGGGUGGAUCACUUGAGCCCAGGAGUUCAAGGCUGCAGUGAGCUAUGAUGGUGCCACUACACUCCAGCCUGGGCAGCAUGUCUCUAGAAUUUUCUUUUUUUUUUUUGAGACGGAGUCUCGCUCUGUUACCAGGCUAGAGUGCAGUGGUGC